rnacentral:rRNA from 1 species
UUCCGUAGGUGAACCUGCGGAAGGAUCAUUAAAGAGAUAGGGUCUUCACGGCCCGACCUCCAACCCUCUGUUGUUAAAACUACCUUGUUGCUUUGGCGGGACCGUCUCGGUCUCCGAGCGCACUAACCUUCGGGUUGGUGAGUGCCCGCCAGAGUCCAACCAAACUCUUGUAUUAAACCAGUCGUCUGAGUAUAAAAUUUUAAUUAAAUUAAAACUUUCAACAACGGAUCUCUUGGUUCUCGCAUCGAUGAAGAACGCAGCGAAAUGCGAUAAGUAAUGUGAAUUGCAGAAUUCAGUGAAUCAUCGAAUCUUUGAACGCACAUUGCGCCCCUUGGUAUUCCGAGGGGCAUGCCUGUUCGAGCGUCAUUACACCACUCAAGCAUCGCUUGGUAUUGGGAACGGUCCGUCGAAAGGCGGGCCUUCCUCGAAGACCUCGGCGGGGUUCAACCAACUUCGGGCGUAGUAGAGUUAAAUCGAACGUCUUAUAAGCUUGGUCGGAUCUCAUUGCCGUUAAACCUUUUAAAUUUUCUAGGUUGACCUCGGAUCAGGUAGGGAUACCCGCUGAACUUAAGCAUAUCAAU